rnacentral:rRNA from 1 species
AACACGUGAGUAACCUGCCCCCGACCCUGGGAUAAGCCUGGGAAACUGGGUCUAAUACCGGAUAUGCACCGUGGACCGCAUGGUUCUUGGUGGAAAGAUUUUUCGGUCGGGGAUGGACUCGCGGCCUAUCAGCUUGUUGGUGAGGUAAUGGCUCACCAAGGCGACGACGGGUAGCCGGCCUGAGAGGGUGACCGGCCACACUGGGACUGAGACACGGCCCAGACUCCUACGGGAGGCAGCAGUGGGGAAUAUUGCACAAUGGGCGAAAGCCUGAUGCAGCGACGCCGCGUGAGGGAUGACGGCCUUCGGGUUGUAAACCUCUUUCAGUAGGGAAGAAGCGAAAGUGACGGUACCUGCAGAAGAAGCGCCGGCUAACUACGUGCCAGCAGCCGCGGUAAUACGUAGGGCGCAAGCGUUAUCCGGAAUUAUUGGGCGUAAAGAGCUCGUAGGCGGUUUGUCGCGUCUGCCGUGAAAGUCCGGGGCUCAACCCCGGAUCUGCGGUGGGUACGGGCAGACUAGAGUGAUGUAGGGGAGACCGGAAUUCCUGGUGUAGCGGUGAAAUGCGCAGAUAUCAGGAGG